rnacentral:rRNA from 1 species
UACAGAGGUCUCAACCGUUGUUCGGAUUCAUUGGGCGUAAAGGGUGCGUAGGCGGUCGCGCAAGUCGGAUGUGAAAUCUUAGGGCUCAACCCUGAAACUGCAUUCGAUACUGCGUGGCUUGAGUACUGGAGGGGAGACUGGAAUUUACGGUGUAGCAGUGAAAUGCGUAGAUAUCGUAAGGAAGACCAGUGGCGAAGGCGAGUCUCUGGACAGUUACUGACGCUGAGGCACGAAGGCCAGGGGAGCAAACGGG